rnacentral:rRNA from 1 species
CGCCUUUGGCAAAGUCCCAAACGGGACAUGCUCAACGCGCGGAGUUCAACACGAAGGCAAUGUCGGAGUUGGGACGGAAGAGUUACAAAUUCACUAGCUAGCCGAACACGCCUGGAAAGGCAGACCACAGCGGGUAAUAGUCCCGUAGGCGAAAGUCAGUGAACUCUUGUAUUGUUACCUAAGUACCCAUGGAGGAGAUUAUCCGUGGCGAAUCCGGGCCUACUACGGUCCAAGGCUAAAUACUUUUAGUGAUCGAUAGUGAACUAGUACCGCGAGGGAAAGGUGAAAAGCACCCCGGUUAGGGGAGUGAAAUAGUAACUGAAACCAUAUGCCUACAAAGAGCCGGAGCGUCCCAAUACCGACAUUGCACUUGUCUUUGACAUACCGCGCCUUUGGCAAAGUCCCAAACGGGACAUGCUCAACGCGCGGAGUUCAACACGAAGGCAAUGUCGGAGUUGGGACGUGACGGUGUGCCUAUUGAAGAAUGAGCCUGCGAGUUUAUACCAGUUGCAAGCCUAAGUCCGUCAGGACGCAGGCGUAGGGAAACCGAGUGUUAAUAGCGCGCAUAUCGUCCCAGUACCGAGCGUCCCAAUGCCGAGAUUGAACCGGUCUUUUGACAUUAAGUCCCAAGGUCCCAAAGACUAGUGGGGACUUGCUAUCAAAAGAUAAGGGCAAUUUCGGGAGCGGGGCGUUCGGCACUGGGACGGUGAGUAUCUGGUAUAAGACCCGAAGCCAAGCGAGCUAACCAUGGUCAGGAUGAAGGUCGCCGAAAGGCGACUGGAGGUCCGAACUGUUUGAUAGCGCAAUAUCAUCGGAUGAACUGUGGUUCGAAGUGAAAAGCUUAUCGAGCUUGGUAAUAGCUGGUUCUCCCCGAAAUGCCUUUAGGGGCAGCGCCAUCUGUUAGUCGAGGGGGUAGAGCACUAAUUGGUUCGUCUUGCCGUUUUACGGUAGACCUACCAAAUAAACUCCGAAUACCUCGAUGAUAAGGAUGGUAGUGAGACGGUGGGGGCAAAGCUUCAUCGUCGUGAGGGAAAGAGCCCAGAUCACAGAUUAAGGUCCCUAAGUGUUAGCUAAGUGUUAAAGGAAGUAUUCUGCCUUAGACAGACAGGAGGUUGGCUUAGAAGCAGCCAUCCUUUAAAGAGUGCGUAACAGCUCACUGUUCAAUCCUCGUCUUCGGAUGAGGAAGGCCGAAUGCGCCGAAAAUUUACCGGGGCUAAGUUAACCACCGAAAUCGUGAAUGCGUCCCAGUACCGAAGUUGUGUUUUGCCGAGCGUUGAGCCCGUCCCCCUUGCCGAUUUUACAAUUUCGGCAGCGGGAGGAGUCAGGUCAAAGGCCGGCAAGAAGACAAUUUCGGCACUGGGGCGCGUGGUAGGGGAGCAUUUCUAACGCAGCGAAGUUCCGCCGUGAGGCUUGGGAUGGAGCGUUAGGAAGGGAGAAUGCAGGCAUGAGUAACCGCAAGCAGCGUGAAAACCGCUGCCGCCGAAAGUCUAAGGUUUCCUCCGCGAUGGCAAUCAGUGGAGGGUUAGGCGCGCCUAAGGAUAACCCAGCUUACGAGCUGGGGAAGCCGAUGGACAGCCGGUUAAUAUUCCGGCCCUUCGUUUAGAUUUAUCAUGGAGUGACGGAGAAAAUAAAGUUGAGCAUAUUAUUGGAUUUAUGUAGCUACCAGCUAGAAUAGCGAUCAGGCAAAUCCGGUCGCUGCCUUCAAUGGCACUACUCAUUGGCGACUAAACUUCUGUCUUCGGAUGGGGGUAUUCAACUGAAGAGUCUUCCUAGAAAAGCUUCUACAGCGUCUAAGCGAAAACGUACUAAAACCGACACAGGUAGACUAGUAUGAUAGUACUAAGGCGAACAGGUGAUUAUUGGCUAAGGAACUCGGCAAAAAAGUGGCCGUAACUUCGGGAUAAGGCCUGCCGUCCCUGUGCCGACAUUGCAUUUGUCUUUGACAUGCCGCGCCUUUGGCAAAGUCCCGAAUGGGACAUGCUCAACGCGCGGAGUUCAACACGAAGGCAACGUCGGCAUUGGGACGGCCGCAGCUAACGACCCCUGGCGACUGUUUAUCAAAAACACAACUCUGUGCUAAAGCGAAAGCUGAUGUAUACAGGGUGACGCUUGUCCAGUGCUGGAACGUUAAUGGUUGAAGUGGUUUGUCUUCGGAUGAACUGCGGAGGCCUGAAGCGCCAGUGAACGACGGCAGUAACUAU